GAUGAACGCUGGCGGCGUGCCUAAUACAUGCAAGUCGAACGAAACUUCUUGAUCACCGAGUGCUUGCACUCACCGAUAAAGAGGUGAGUGGCGAACGGGUGAGUAACAUGUGGGCAACCUGCCCAAAAGAGGGGGAUAACACUAGGAAACAGGUGCUAAUACCGCAUAACCAUAGUUACCGCAUGGCAACUAUGUAAAAGGUGGCUAUACUACCGCUGUUGGAUGGGCCCGCGGCGCAUUAGCUAGUUGGUAGGGUAAAGGCUUACCAAGGCAAUGAUGCGUAGCCGAAUUGAGAGGUUGAUCGGCCACAUUGGGACUGAGACACGGCCCAAACUCCUACGGGAGGCAGCAGUAGGGAAUCUUCCACAAUGGGCGAAAGCCUGAUGGAGCAACGCCGCGUGGGUGAUGAAGGUCUUCGGAUCGUAAAACCCUGUUGUUAGAGAAGAAAGUGCGUGAAAGUAACUGUUCACGUCUCGACGGUACCUAACCAGAAAGCCACGGCUAACUACGUG
rnacentral:rRNA from 1 species